rnacentral:rRNA from 1 species
AUUGAACGCUGGCGGCAGGCCUAACACAUGCAAGUCGAACGGUAGCACAGAUAGCUUGCUCUCGGGUGACGAGUGGCGGACGGGUGAGUAAUGUCUGGGAAACUGCCCGAUGGAGGGGGAUAACUACUGGAAACGGUAGCUAAUACCGCAUAACGUCGCAAGACCAAAGUGGGGGACCUUCGGGCCUCACACCAUCGGAUGUGCCCAGAUGGGAUUAGCUAGUAGGUGGGGUAAUGGCUCACCUAGGCGACGAUCCCUAGCUGGUCUGAGAGGAUGAACAGCCACACUGGAACUGAGACACGGUCCAGACUCCUACGGGAGGCAGCAGUGGGGAAUAUUGCACAAUGGGCGCAAGCCUGAUGCAGCCAUGCCGCGUGUAUGAAGAAGGCCUUCGGGUUGUAAAGUACUUUCAGCGGGGAGGAAGGCGGUGAAGUUAAUAACUUCACCGAUUGACGUUACCCGCAGAAGAAGCACCGGCUAACUCCGUGCCAGCCGCCGCAGUAA